rnacentral:rRNA from 1 species
GCAGCCCGCGGUAAUUCCCAGCUUCAGUAGCAUCUAUUAAAGUUGCUGCGGUUAAAAGGCUCGCAGUUGAAUUUCAGUGCCGGGUGUCGGUAGGUGGACGUUGGAGCGCGAGAUCAAAGGUUGUCUGUGCUCUGUGCUGCCUUCGGGCUAGUGCGGUGUGCGGCAGCCUCUCGUAUACUCCCGUCCGUAACAAGCCUCCGCAUCCGAGUACAUAGUGGCGGUCUGUUCGGUCGGUUGGGCUGUUCGCGGUCCUCUCGGCUUAGACCGCCGGUGUCACCCUGAGUAAAUCAGAGUGCUCAAAGCAGUCGUGAGGGAUGCCUAGUGUGUCCCGUGAAAAGUCUUGACGGAUCGUCUUGAGUUUGCAUGGCAUGUUGGAAGAUGAUGUCGAGCGCGGCCAGGAGCAGUAUCACUCGGUGGUGACGGCCAGCCUCGACGUAAUGAUUAAAAGGGCUUGUCGAGGGCAUUGGUAUUGCGGAGCGAGAG